GAUGAACGCUGGCGGCGUGCUUAACACAUGCAAGUCGAACGGAAAGGCCCUUCGGGGUACUCGAGUGGCGAACGGGUGAGUAACACGUGGGUGAUCUGCUCUGCACUUUGGGAUAAGCCUGGGAAACUGGGUCUAAUACCGAAUAGGACCACGCGCUUCAUGGUGUGUGGUGGAAAGCUUUUGCGGUGUGGGAUGGGCCCGCGGCCUAUCAGCUUGUUGGUGGGGUAAUGGCCUACCAAGGCGACGACGGGUAGCCGGCCUGAGAGGGUGACCGGCCACACUGGGACUGAGAUACGGCCCAGACUGGUACGGGAGGCAGCAGUGGGGAAUAUUGCACAAUGGGCGCAAGCGUGAUGCGGCGACGCCGCGUGAGGGAUGACGGCCUUCGGGUUGUAAACCUCUUUCAAUAGGGACGAAGCGCAAGUGACGGUACCUAUAGAAGAAGCACCGGCCAACUACGUG
rnacentral:rRNA from 1 species